rnacentral:rRNA from 1 species
CAAGUCGAGCGGAACGAGUUAUCUGAACCUUCGGGGAACGAUAACGGCGUCCAGCGGCGGACGGGUGAGUAAUGCCUAGGAAAUUGCCCUGAUGUGGGGGAUAACCAUUGGAAACGAUGGCUAAUACCGCAUGAUGCCUACGGGCCAAAGAGGGGGACCUUCGGGCCUCUCGCGUCAGGAUAUGCCUAGGUGGGAUUAGCUAGUUGGUGAGGUAAGGGCUCACCAAGGCGACGAUCCCUAGCUGGUCUGAGAGGAUGAUCAGCCACACUGGAACUGAGACACGGUCCAGACUCCUACGGGAGGCAGCAGUGGGGAAUAUUGCACAAUGGGCGCAAGCCUGAUGCAGCCAUGCCGCGUGUGUGAAGAAGGCCUUCGGGUUGUAAAGCACUUUCAGUCGUGAGGAAGGUGGUAGUGUUAAUAGCACUAUCAUUUGACGUUAGCGACAGAAGAAGCACCGGCUAACUCCGUGCCAGCC